GGCAUCAUAUCUAUGUAGCAUGGCAAAAAUGAGCUACUUAGAAUGAUCUGACAAGCGGAUCAAAUAGACUUAAUGUAUGAUAACAAGUGGUUUAGUAUAUUACUGAUGAUGAUGAUGAAGCUGCAUCACUGAUAUAUUUUAUAAUUUUAAUAGGGAUUCAAUUUUAACCUUUAGAACAGCUGGUUCACAAAUUAGAUAAAUUAUUUUAUCGUUUAUAGAUGUAGGAUCAACAGUGUUUUUCUAAGCAAAGGGCGUAAAAAAAUACUUACAGAAAAAUGUUCUUUUUUUUUCUUUUGUACUAACAACCUACCAGAUUUUUAUGUCUUUUUAUUAUCUUUCAUUUUAUCUUUCAUUUUUACAUUAAAGGUCAUUUUUUCUCAUUUUUUGUUCUUUUAAUUUUUGUCCAUGGAUAUGUUAUAUUUUUGUUUUAAUCAAGGAAUGGCAACCGAAUUCCUUCGUAUACAUGAUAAUUGUAAAAUUAGUUCAUCAUUAUAUUUAAAAAGAUGGUUCUUCUUCGCAGUAUGAGAAAGAGCAUUAAUAUUUGUUAAAACUUCAAAACAUAAGCUGAGUUGGCACAAAUAUGCCAUCAAAAUCGCACAAUCUGAGCAACGUAUUACUCACUAAAAGUGUGUAACUAUUUCACAUUAUUUUAAAGUCAAGGCGCUCCUGGCAAGGCAUGGCAUAAUUCUAUUGUGAUUGGUAUUGGUGCAUCUCGUCAUUACCAAAUGGAACUGUAGCAAGGGAUGUCAUCAACUUUCUGAUAUUGUUAUUCUUGAUAUUUUUGAUAGCGGUGGUUGUAGUGUUGAUGCAGAAACGAUGUAUGUUAUAAUAUUCACUUAAUUUUAUGACGCAUAUUCUUUGUUAAGAUUUUAUUUUUAGUGACACUAAGAACAUGGACAACAGCUUUGAGUAUUGACGGGUACAUUUUUGCAUAUUACACCAAUCCAAUCUCCUUUACUGAAAUACUGACAACCGUUUUAGAUUAAGAUUUAAUCACGGAAACGUUUUCUGCUGCUAUAUAAUAAAAGUAUUACCACUUUUGAUACCAGCUUAGCCAUCGCUUGGUCAGCUGAAAUCUAAAAUCAAGAAGCAUCUUUGUUCUGAUAUUUUUGGUAGCAGACCCUGAAAGAUUUCUACCGAUUGUGUUGCAUAGUCCAAGUUGCAAGAUAUUUAACAAAGUUCUCUGGAAAUGAAAGCAAGUGUAUCCAUAAGGUUUUAAAAUAUGAACGAAAAUUUUAUUUUCCAAAGUACCUGCAAUGUGACGAAGUAAAAAACGAACUUGGCGCAAUUUCUUUUGUUUGGGCUCAACAUUGCACACUUUGGAUAAAGUCUCACUAUAUGUAAACUAUGACGAAUCUCUCACGAACUUAAACCUCAAUUAAGGUGAAAAAGAUGAAGAUUAUAUUUAGGAUGAGGCUUACAAGCCACCUGGACCAACUGCGCUUACUUACCUGAAUAUUUGACUUCAGGAUUAAAUGAAUCAAACGUAAUGUUAACCCAAUUCUUCAAAACUAAAGGGAGGGGGGUUGGGGUGGUUUGAACCCCCCCCCCCCAAAAAAAAAAAAAAAAAAUUGAAGGUGUAACGAUAAACAUAAGUUAGUUAAAAAAUUUUAAGACGGGGGACUAAAUCAAUAAACGUGACUAGUAAAUCGUUUCACCACAAUGGCAUCUAUAAGAAUAUCUAAAAUUAACCUAACAGCUUCUGAAAGAAAAUCAUAUGCAAGGUGAUAAUAUAUUUUGUUAAUUAUUUUGCCUAAAAGAAAUAAUAAUCCGAAAUCUCUGAAAUCCCGAUAAAGGUGUGUAACAAAUGCGUGUAAACUUCAAAGCGUGUACUUAGUUUAAAAGUAACAUGUUUUAGUCCGAUGCGUUCCGGAUCAGUUGAAACGUCCUGAACAUCAUCUCAGUUAUUUGCAGAAGACUUUUUCUGCAGUGUUUGUAUGCUUUUGUAUACUAAAUAUAAUACUUCAAUAAUUUAUGUGUGUACAAAUCUUCGCGCACUGGCGCGCAUACAAAACGUAUAAUACAUAAAUUGCACGACAACCGUUUCACUUCAAUGUUAGGGUGUGCAAAAUAGACAUUUUUAAGUCAUUCUAACCGUAGAAAGACAUGGAGAACAAGGAACUCGUCGGUUAUAGCGCUUUUUAACAAACAGUUAAUUUUGCGCUCACGCAUACAAUUUCUGAUCAAUAGCUGCCACAUGCACAAGUCAUCAAACAUGUAUAUAGGAUAGAAUGGCAUGGUCAGAAUCAAUUAGGCACAAUGCAUACUUAUUACCAUAAUAUUACUCAAAUAAAUGGUGCCCAGAGAAGUUAACAAUGUAAUGAGGAUAUACCAUGCCACCAAAUCCAUUUAUUCAGAACAUUACAAACACAUCCAACAAACUCAUCAAAAACAAGCAACCUUUAUAAUCUAAUCAAUAUCAAAACCAUGCCGCACAGUUAAAUCAACAAAAAACGUCACUAAAGUCAUAUCCAAUAUCACUACAAACAGCAGCUGUUGCGAAUCCUUUUGCUCAACUAACUGCUCUGAUGAGAACUUGAACGACUUCCUCUUAACUCAGGUCACUUUUAACCGUUAUAUUUAGAAAAUUCUAAGUGUCUCCCUC